rnacentral:lncRNA from 1 species
UGACAGUGGUGAUAAGAGAACUGGGCAUACAAUGUGAUGAGUGUUUCUAAGAGAGAAAGAUUACUCUGAGUAAGGAAAAUGGUGAAUUUCCUUGACAAGGAGGUGAUAACAAAAGUGGAUCUUGGAAACCGGGAUGAAUUGGAUAUGCUAUAAAGUUCAAAUGGAGAGGCACAUGAGCAGAAGCCGGAACGGGUGAGGGGUAGGAACAGGUAUAAAAUGGACUAUAACAUGAGAACAAAUAACUACGACAUUGUGCUACAAUCUACAGCAGGAAGACAGAUAACAGUGCAGAAGACAGAUAAUAGUGAGAAAGAAAAAGAAAGAUGAAAAUACACUCAAAAAUCAUAGCCCUUCUUUUUCAGGUAGGAUAUAGACAUGCCAAUAAGAAGGAUGACACAGGCAGGGUUAUAAAUCUACCAUCGCCACCAUCACCAUCUAAGGAGACCCCCAUACAUGAUGCCACUUUAAGAGGAGAGGCCCCCUCUCCAUGCCUUACCUGGAAUGUAUGCUUGAAGUCUUAGACUUAUUCAGAAGCUUCCUGAAACAGCUGCUUUACACAAACUGGAAGUGUGGGGGAGUUAAAAUGUUGUUGGAUUUCACACCCAUUAGAAUAACUACUAUUAAAAAAACCCCA